CUGUCGAUUGUUGGCCGUGGUUAUGCCAGGUUUCUCACAAGUGAUUCAAUACGCGUUACUACUGUAGGCUCUGCUUAGGACAAAGGGGAUGCUGCCAACUGGAUGAUUGUGCUUUCUAGAAUCAAGUAUGGACCUGCAAGAUACUGGGCGAUCUUAUUUGUCUUCUGGUUUCUUGUGUUUGGAAUAUGGGCCUCUCGAACACAUGGUGCGCAUAAUACAUGAUUCUGGUAUAUUGGUAAUGUGCAGGAGGGAAAUGUUAUUUAUAAUGCUUUUCAAUUGUUAUUCUUUAAAUUGUGAACUCUUGUAAAGAUUAUUGGUACCACCAUACCUAACUCAAAAGAUCCCGUAAAUUGCUUCUCCACCAUAAUUCUUCAACUGAAUAUGUUCAUAUUCUGGUAUUGAUGGCUUUCUAUGGUAUGGACCAUUUUGAUUUGACACUUGUUUGAUGAGGUUAAUUUUAAUUCUCACCAUGAGGGAUAUAUACUGAUGACAAA